rnacentral:rRNA from 1 species
ACGGAAGGCAGCAGUGGGGAAUAUUGCACAAUGGGGGAAACCCUGAUGCAGCAACGCCGCGUGAAGGAAGACGGUCUUCGGAUUGUAAACUUCUGUUCUUAGUGAAGAUAAUGACGGUAGCUAAGGAGCAAGCCACGGCUAACUACGUGCCAGCAGCCGCGGUAAUACGUAGGUGGCAAGCGUUAUCCGGAUUUACUGGGUGUAAAGGGCGCGUAGGCGGGGAAGCAAGUCAGAUGUGAAAUCUAUGGGCUUAACUCAUAAACUGCAUUUGAAACUGUUUCUCUUGAGUGCUGGAGAGGUAGAUGGAAUUCCUAGUGUAGCGGUGAAAUGCGUAGAUAUUAGGAAGAACACCAGUGGCGAAGGCGAUCUACUGGACAGUAACUGACGCUGAGGCGCGAAAGCGUGGGGAGCAAACAGGAUUAGAUACCCUGGUA